UACGGAGGGAGCUAGCGUUGUUCGGAAUUACUGGGCGUAAAGCGCACGUAGGCGGCUUUGUAAGUUAGAGGUGAAAGCCCGAGGCUCAACUCCGGAACUGCCUUUAAGACUGCAUCGCUUGAAUCCAGGAGAGGUGAGUGGAAUUCCGAGUGUAGAGGUGAAAUUCGUAGAUAUUCGGAAGAACACCAGUGGCGAAGGCGGCUCACUGGACUGGUAUUGACGCUGAGGUGCGAAAGCGUGGGGAGCAAACAGG
rnacentral:rRNA from 1 species